rnacentral:tRNA from 1 species
UGCCGGGUCGUCUAAUGGCAGGACGCUACUCUUUGGAAGUGGUUAUCGGGGUUCGAAUCCCUGCCCGGCAGCCA